ensembl:lncRNA
AGGGUGAAGGUAGGGUGACCGCAGGGUGACAGCAGGGUGACAGUAGGGUACAAUGUAGGGUGACAGUAGGGUACAAGGUAGGGUGACAGUAGGGUAGAAGGAAGGGUGACAGUACGGUAUGAAGGUAGGGUGACAGUAGGGUAUGAAGGUAGGGUGACAGUAGGGUAGAAGGUAGGGUGACAGUAGGGUAUGAAGGUAGGGUGACAGUAGGGUUUGAAGGUAGGGUGACAGUAGGGUAUGUAGGUAGGGUGACAGUAGCGUAUGAAGGUAGGGUGACAGUAGGGUAUGUAGGUAGGGUGACAGUAGGGUAUGAAGGUAGGGUGACAGUAGGGUAUGUAGGUAGGGUGACAGUAGGGUAUGAAGGUAGGAUGACAGUAGGGUAUGUAGGUAGGGUGACCGUAGGGUAUGUAGGUACGGUGACAGUAGCAUAUGAAGGUAGGG